CUGUUUCAUGUAAUCGCAAGAGGAACAUAUCACAAAAAUCUGUUCUGGCCUGAAGGAUCAUUUUUAAGAAGUAUAAAAAAUCCUAAAUGGCAAGAAAAACAGUCUUCUAGAACUCUCAUGAUCAUCAGGACACGGCUGUUCCCCUCAGAGUGUCUGCAGGCCCUUUCCUGAUGGCUCCAGACCCUCAGGCAGGACUUGGGGUAGUACAGGGUGGGCCUUACUGCCUCUGCUCUUGUUCUCCCCUGGGAUGCACUUUUCUCCUGUGUCUGCCUGGGAACAUUUACGCCAGCUUGGAAACCAGCUCAAAAAUCACCUCCUCCAAAGUCCUCAGACAAAGAGGGAUAGAAGAGAAAAACAUGGCUAUUAAAGUGUUCAGAUGGAUGGUGUUUAUCAGUCUACUACACAAUGUAAGUACUAGUGCUGUGCCAGGUCCCAUGCUCGAUGCUCCAGGAUGGUGCUUCACCACCUAUGAUCAAGGCCCAGCCACUGCCAUUCCCAAUUCUUGCAGACUGAUGCAUGGCCCUAUGCUCAUGGCUUGCGUAUCAUCUGUACAACAUGGGACAUUCCUCAGUGCAGGAAUUCAACAGUACUCAGUCUGGUCUAGAUCCUAUUCAACCAAGCGAGCCCAGGAUACAAGCUUGGAUGUAGAUGUCACAACAGUGGCACACUGCAGGAAAAUUCCUAAAUCUUAGUCUCAAAUUGCUGUACUUACCUCGUUCCAGUUCCAUACGAGUUUGCUGAUAGAUACUGGUCUGCACUCCAGUUUGAAUAGCACCACUCUGAGACAUACAGAGAAAUAUAAAAUUCCUGCUCUCACACAAAUAAAACAAAAUUCCUGCUUUUUAAAAAAUAUUUUAUUUAUUUGUUUGAGACGAGUCAA